rnacentral:rRNA from 1 species
UACGUAGGGGGCUAGCGUUGUCCGGAAUCAUUGGGCGUAAAGCGCGUGUAGGCGGUCCGGUAAGUCCGCUGUGAAAGUCGGGGGCUCAACCCUCGAAUGCCGGUGGAUACUGUCGGGCUAGAGUGCGGAAGAGGCGAGUGGAAUUCCUGGUGUAGCGGUGAAAUGCGCAGAUAUCAGGAGGAACACCAAUUGCGAAGGCAGCUCGCUGGGACGUGAACUGACGACUGAGACGCGAAAGCGUGGGGAGCAAACAGG